GACGAACGCUGGCGGCGUGCUUAACACAUGCAAGUCGAACGGUGAAGCUCCAGCUUGCUGGAGUGGAUCAGUGGCGAACGGGUGAGUAACACGUGAGCAACCUGCCCCUGACUCUGGAAUAAGCGCUGGAAACGGCGUCUAAUACUGGAUACGAGAAGGGUCCGCAUGGGCACUUUCUGGAAAGUUUUUCGGUUGGGGAUGGGCUCGCGGCCUAUCAGCUUGUUGGUGAGGUAAUGGCUCACCAAGGCGACGACGGGUAGCCGGCCUGAGAGGGCGACCGGCCACACUGGGACUGAGACACGACCCAGACUCCUACAGGAGGCAGCAGUGUAGAAUAUUACACAAUGGGCGAAAGCCUGAUGCAGCGACGCCGCGUGAGGGAUGACGGCCUUCGGGUUGUAAACCUCUUUCAGCAGGGAAGAAGCGAAAGUGACGGUACCUGCAGAAGAAGCACCGGCUAACUACGUG
rnacentral:rRNA from 1 species